UCGAGGAUCUUCGGCAAUGGGGGCAACCCUGACCGAGCGAUGCCGCGUGUGCGACGAAGGCCUUCGGGUUGUAAAGCACUGUCGAGGGGGAGAAAAGCCGCAAGGUCUGAUCUAUCCCUGGAGGAAGCUCGGGCUAAGUUCGUGCCAGCAGCCGCGGUAAGACGAACCGAGCGAACGUUGUUCGGAAUCACUGGGCUUAAAGGGCGCGUAGGCGGGCUGCCGCGUCCGGGGUGAAAGCCCCCCGCUCAACGGGGGAACGGCCUCGGAUACGGGCGAUCUCGAGGGGGGUAGGGGCACCUGGAACUGUGGGUGGAGCGGUGAAAUGCGUUGAUAUCCACAGGAACUCCGGUGGCGAAGGCGAGGUGCUGGACCCCAUCUGACGCUGAGGCGCGAAAGCCAGGGGAGCGAACGGGAUUAGAUACCCCUGUAGUCC
rnacentral:rRNA from 1 species